UUGGUUUUCCAAUGUAUAACCAAAUUCCUUGACUUCAGAAAUUUGUUGUUUGUUUCAUUGUAUUUGCUUUUCAAAGGGAUGUGAAAAUCCCAUGGAUGAUGGAUUUUGUUUUACAGCCAUUUUGGCUGUAAAACAAAAUCCUGAUUACAAAAUCCCUCACGUGACUGUCACGUGAGGGAUUCACGGGCUGGUUGGGAAAAAAGCAGAAGGUGAGAGGAUUCCAUAUUCUCGUGUUUUCUCUUUUCCAUAUCUGGGGUCCGGCUGUUCUUCUUCUUAGGAGUAGCAUCAGAAGGUGAUCUUUGCGAGGAUUCAAGAAAUCUUGUGGUUUGCUUCCAACCGAGAGGGACUUGUUUCACGGUGAUCACUUCAAGAUGGAAAAAGAAAGGGAAAGGCAAGCGCAAAGCAAAUGAUCCCGAUGAUGCAAUCCGUGAAUUGUCAACCACCAUCAAAGACGCAUUUGCUUCAGUCAGAUCCAGUCAAUCAGUGAGCUUUGCAGUAGAAAUUCAAGAUGAGUGCAUGAAAUUGACACAUUAUGGAUAUUCCAUAGAACAAGCUCUUAUGGUGUAUGAACACUUGAUGGCUGAUGACACACGUGCUAGAACCUUCUUUGGAAUGCGUGAGGAAUUUCGCAAGGUUUGGGUAAGAAAAUUCUUUGAUGGUGUCAACCAGGACCUUUGAUGUGAUGGUAAGAAAUUUUUUAUCUUCAUUGUUCGUAGUUGUUCAUUCUUUACAUUUUAUAUCUUUCCUUUUGUAUUAAUGUUCUUGUUUUCUUAUAUUAAUUUCAGGAGGAAUGACUUUAUUUCGCCGAUGAAGGAUAAUUCUACUCUCUAUAUAUAGUGGAAACUUAUUUGUGAUGGGAGUUCUCAUGUGUUAUUUUGUGUGUGUAAUAUAUGGUGAAAUGUGGAAUAUUAUGGGUUUUAUAUGGAGUACGUAUGUGAGGAGGUUCAUAACUAGGUUAAUAUGUAUUUAUAGUUAAGUUUGAUGUGUUGUAUGUUGUGAAAUUUCAUAUGUUGUAAUAUGGAGAUAAAUACCUAUAUGGAGUUGUUGGUUGUUUGUUUGUUGUUUUGUAAGUACCUAUAAGUUUUGAUGUUUAUAAAUAAUGAUUUUUAUAAUAUUUGUUAGUGUUCUAUAAUGAUGCUUAUUGCAAUAAUAUAGAGAAUUUGUUGUGCUUUAUAAGUUAUGUGGUGUUUGAAUGUUCAUUAUCUUUAGUGUAUUAAUUUAUUUUUUUCUAUCUCAUGAUAUAUAUCUUGUCAGGUUAUAGAAUUUUGAAGUUAUAUAUGUAGAAGUUUGAAGUUUUGAAAUU